ensembl:lncRNA
GUGGCUCACACCUGUAAUCCCAGCACUUUGGGAGGCUGAGGCGAGUGGAUCACCUGAGGUCAGGAGUUCGAGACCAGCCUGGCCAACAUAGUGAAACUCCAUCUGUACUAAAAAUACAAAAUUAGCUGGGCAUGUUUGUGCACACCUGUAAUCCCAGCUACUUGGGAGGCUGAGGCAGAAGAAUUGGUUGAAUCCAGGAAGCAGAGGUUGCAGUGAGAUGAAAUUGCACCACUGCACUCCAGCCUGGGCAACAGGUGAGAUUCCAUCUCAGAAAAAAAAAAAAAAAGGAAGGAAGGAAGGAAGGAAACUUGCACUUGGCGUGAUUGACUGGAUCUUGGUUCACUGGAUCUUGGUUCACGGCAGCCUCAACCUCCCAGGCCCAAGCAAUACCCCAGCCUCCCAAGUAGCUGGGACCACAGAUGUAUACCACCAUACCCGGCUACUUUUUAAAUUUUUGUAGAGACAGGGCCUCCCUAUGUUGCCCAGGCUGGUCUUGAACUCCUAGACUCAAGUGAUGCUCCCACCUUGGCCUCCCAAAGUGAGGGGAUUACAGUUAAGAACCACCACACUCAGCCUUGACCACAGUCCUAAAGACCCAGAAGGAGCACAUCUCCUUCCAGCCAUGUUUCACUCGUGAGAACUUAGUUGGCUGCAUCAAACUGCAAAGGAGGCUGGAAAUACAUUUGAGCUGGUUCUUUGAAAUACAUGUGAAUGGAUAUUGACACAUGAAUGGAUAUAGUCUCUCUCCCCUCAUCUUUACCUCAUGGCUCAAAGAGUGAGAGGAAUGAGGGAAUCAAGGACAUUAGCAGCUACUCACUGGUGGGUGUGUGUGUGUGUGUGUGCACGCGCGCACGUGUUGAUCUGGAAAUCAGUUUACUUUGAGCUUGAGGAACCAGGUAUAGAGGCACCACCUGCCACUCUGAUCCCACAAGCGUAGGUUGGAUGUCUCCCAGUGGAGCAGUGUCUGUACUGGGCUUGCCUCCCCAGAGAACUCCCCCAGAAAACCUAGUGUAAGACAAGAAGGUUUGUUGCUCUAGGAUGGCCAAGGGCCACAAGCUGCCUGGUGAUCAGCAUACCUGGAGGGAUUGAGUACCAUGUGGCAUCCUGACGGGCUCCUGUCCCCAUCCUGGAUCUGGCCUGGGCAAGAGGUACUGGCUGAUGCACACACCUUGCCUGUCAUGAUGACUGUCACUGAUUUCUCCUCCCCACUGCCCAAGACACAAUGAGCCCUGUAGCUCCUGGUGCAAGGCCGUGACCUCAGAGGGCUGUGGUUUGAUUUGUGAAAGUUGAAUCUCUCAUGGAUUGGGCUGCUGAGAGGCCCUUGUUAAUUACUUGGUAGUGGCAGGUGAAAACAGGGCAGGUGUUGGAUACCCAAAGAUAGACACCAGGAUCUCUGGACUCUUUCUUUUUGCUUCAUGUGGGAAUGAAAAGGAGCAAGGCUGUUGUUCAGCCCCUGAAGCUCAGAAAGCUGGCUGACUGACCUACACCGCCCUCAGCCCUAGGGACAUUUCAAGCCUAUGCUUUUGCUUGGGGCUUUAAGCAAAAUCUGAGUUCCACUGUUCUGCUCCAAGAAGUCCAGUAUAGUCACCCCCAUAUUCUGGGCACCCUAUAUAUUCCAUUAGAGCCCUUGAAAAUUAAUGGACUGACCGGGUGCAGUGGCUUAUGCCUGUAAUCCCAGCACUUUGGGAGGCCAAGGUGGGUGGAUCACUUGAGGUCAGGAGUUCGAGACUAGCCUGGCCAACAUGGUAAAGCCCUAUAUCUACUAAAAAUACAAAAAAUUAGCCGGGUGUGGUGGUGGGCACCUGUAAUCCCAGCUACUAGGGAGGCUGAAGCAGGAGAAUCUCUUGAACCUGGGAGGCAGAGGUUGCAGUGAGCCAAGAUCAUGCCACUGCACUCCAGCCUGGGCAACAAGAGUGAAACUCCGUCACAAAAAAAAAAAAAAAA